AACGAUCCUCGUUCACUUCACACAUACACAUGUUAUAGGUUCUACGAUAUUUUCUAUAAGAUGGCUUAUUUUAGGAAGGUUAUAUUGAACCUGGCUUUGCUAUUUGUGAUUCUUUUGUUAAUGAAAGUGACAGCAACGGCAAGGGUACCACUAUCGAUGAUUGAGCCACACAAAUCAUAUGGACGCAUACUUUAUAUUGUUGAUGAUGUUCCCCACGGCCACAACUUUUUUAGUCCUCCUCCUUCUCAUCCACGAUGGUGAUGAUGAUCCAAAUCUCAAGAAUUAUCACAUGAUGUCAAAAAGCAAGUCACCAAAGAAUACAAAAGAGAAAAAGAAAGAUCCAAGCAAAACUUAAUGUCGAUUAUUGCAUAUUCACAUUGUUUAGAACUACGAGUUUGUAAAGAUGUUACUGAGCUGAUUAAUUAAGUAAGGGGUUAAAAACACGUUACUCCUUUAAUUUAUA